UAAUUGAAGAGUUUGAUCAUGGCUCAGAUUGAACGCUGGCGGCAGGCCUAACACAUGCAAGUCGGGCGGUAACAGGGAGAAGCUUGCUUCUCUGCUGACGAGC
rnacentral:rRNA from 1 species